rnacentral:rRNA from 1 species
GGCAGCGCUGGGUAGCUACGUUCGGAAGAGAUAACCGCUGAAGGCAUAUAAGCGGGAAGCUCUCCCCAAGAUUAGAUUUCCCACCCUUCGGGGCUAAAGGUCCCUUGUAGACUACAAGGUUGAUAGGCUNNUUGAGCUAACCAGUACUAAUAGACCGUGAGGCUUGACCAUA